CAAAAACUCCCUCCGUCCCAAAUUACUCGUCAUUGAAAUGGAUGUAUCUAGAACAAAAAUACAUCUAGAUACAUCCAUACGUGCGACAAGUAAUUCAGGACGGAGGGAGUAUUCA
rnacentral:pre_miRNA from 1 species